rnacentral:tRNA from 1 species
GGGUGAUUAGCUCAGUUGGUUUAGAGCGCACGCUUCACACGCGUGAGGUCACAGGUUCGAAUCCUGUAUUACCCACCC